CAUUAGAUGGCUGAAAGUAAGUACUGGUCUCUUAAACCAUAAAAUAAUAAGUUAACAUCUAUUUCUAAUGA
rnacentral:tRNA from 1 species